UCUCGCCGCUGGAGGCGUUCGUGAUCCAACGGCCGACAGCUUUGGGGGAUCGAUAAGGUGGAGAUGGAGUCCUCACACCAGAGGAGGAGGGGCUGCUGAGAGGAAAUCGCCUCCACAAUCCCCGUCAGGCUCCACCGAUCCACCUACCUCGAACCGCGCCCGCCUUGAAUGCCUCAUCCAAGCUCACCUUCAGUGAUGAGCCCAGCACCGGUGCCGCUUCACCGGUUUUUGGCCUGCAGGGCCUCGCCCAUGCCGACGCACACGCCCGGCAUCCCACGCCCCUCACCGUCACAGCUCUUUCCAUCUGUAGCGAGGCGAAUCUGCUCUUUCCAAAGAACCUGCAAUUUCGAGUUCUGUACCAUCUUGUGAAGGCCCCUGUCUACACCUACAUGCACUGCAAUCUGAAGCGACGCGGUCCUUCUCUUUCCAAGGGGCUUUUCUUCUCUCGGGAAAAAACAAAGGGUAAUUAGAGGCAUCAGUCAGCAGUCUCAAUAGAUGCUGAAAUUAAAGAUUUAAUAGAUUCUAAAAGAUUCCAUGAGAAUCACCAACACAUCACUACAUAGAUCACAACAACCCUUGGCUUGAGCUUCUUCUCCAAAUGCAAUUUGCAGGUAAAGUUUCCCGUGCCUCAAAUCCCAAUCUUCAGAUAAAAUUUGCCCUGCAGUACACAAAAAUAAAAUGCAACUUCAGAGAGAGAGAUAGAGAUAGAGAGAGGACCCGACUUAUAUGCAAGCGGAUGCAGUGGAUAUAUCAGCAAGUAGAAAGGAGAGGAUGUGAAAAAAGGGCAUGCUCGCUGUUAAGUCUGAGAAUUUGAACCACAUACAUGGAUCGGAGAAAAAGCAAGUAAAUUGCUCAGGUUUUCAUAUGGGGAAAAUUAAAGAAAUAACUAGAGUAGUAGAAACUUUUGGUGCAGGUUUAUAAUUUCUUAAUGCUAAUAAUGUUUAAAGUAGGUUUAUCGAAUUUCCCUUUCAAAUAUGUGGAAAUGAAUAAGAGCUGAUCCGGGGGUGGCCAUUCCUUUUUAGGCUCAUUUCAGUUGCUGACUGCUGCAGGAAUCUGCAAGGUCUUCAACAGAGUAGAGGGAAUCCACCACCAGGGUGAAUGGUGGUCCUCUCUCUCUAGCUCUCUCCAAAUGCCUCUUCUACCUUUUUUUUAGCGAAGAUCCAGAUUCCCUCUUCUAUUUCCAUGUCUUGACAAGUUUGAAUUUCUCCAAUAAGAACAAGAACAUAAUAGGUUUUUAUAACGUAUUUUGAGUGGUUGUGCUCUUGCUGAUGUUUGUUUUUUAAUCAAAUGCUUGCAAAUUAGUUGGGAAUUUCCUUGGACCAUUACUUUCUAUAUACCUACAAGUUUGUGUUUGACUAGCAUUUUCGGAAAAUAUUGUGGACAGGCAAAGUAAGGUAAACGGCCGCACAUCAAAGACCAAACUGUAAUUAUAAAGAGUGUUUCGUCCAAUAAGACUGAAAAGAGGAGGAAUUUUCCUAUGUACUUUUAGUUUUGUACAACACCAUAGAUGGAGUAAUGAUUAACAAAACUUUCUUAACUUAAUCAUCUCCCCCUGUAUUUGACAACGAAUGGUUGUGCUCAAAGUCCAUGUGCUAGCAACAUAUAUGGCUGCGAUUUUUCAGAAGAUAUAUGACUUUCGAGAAACAUACAAUUUUAUGUCGUAAUGCAGUUUCUGACAUGGUCACAUCCCACUUUGGUAUUAUAAGUGUGCAUAAGGUUCCGAUGUUGUGCAUAGAUUUUUUUAUUAUAGUACUAUGUGAUUUAGAGUUUUCUCUUUCAACCACAAUAAGAAGGUACAAAUGAGGCAACUAAAUGGGUCAAAUGGGUGUGGUUCUGCACAAUAGAUAUCACUCUAUCUCUCUCUCUCUCUCUCUCUCUCUCUCCUUUUACCUUUUGUUUUUGCUUUCAUAUGAUUUUUUUGCCAAGUACUUAUCCUUGAGUUUAUUCAGUUCCGUUGAUUGAGAGAUGUCUCCUCGACCUUGGUGAUAUCAUUAUCUUCAAAUUGUUUAUCUCUACAUGUAGGUGUUGGAGCUCAUGCGGCAAUAUAUUAAGGAUGAAAUGAGGCCAUGCAGAGUCAUUUUUCUGUCAUGUAUCAUUGUGGUUCUUGUUUUCUAUAUGUAACUGUGAAAGGUAUUUCCUUCUCUUGAUUGGUACAGUUAAGUGGUUUAUAUGAAAUAUAUAGCUGAAUGAUAUUUAGUCAGUGUCUUCUGUACAAAAACAUAGUAAACAACAUCAGGCACUGAAUCUUAUGUCCUCUGUUUUCUAGCAUGUCAGCUCUUUUAUCGGACCAAUUAGUGUGAACUUAACUAACGGGAAAGUCGCAGAUCUGCAGGGACCAUUCGAGGGUGUUUGCCAUUUCUUUUAUUCAUUUUCUCACUUAGUUCUUCAUUGCUCUCAUAGAACUUGAUUUAAAGUUUUUGGCUUGAAGCCGGUUCCACAACUUGAUUCAAAGGCCGUCAAAGGUCUCAAAGGCUGCGCAUGAUGUUGAUUCUGGAAAUUGCUAAGCUCACAAAACAAUCCAUGGAGCCUCGGCAGGGAAAACAUACAGUACAUGCUACAUAUAAUUUCACCUUCUUGGGCAUAGGGAAACACAAUGGAAGAGUAUACCAAGAAACCACGUCUCAAUUGAGAGAACAAUUAAAACAAUGAUGAAUCUGUACAUUUGAAAUUUCAUGGUACUGGAGGGCCCUGCCAUUUUGCGCUUGAUUGUUCUUCUGCUUGUGUGGGCACUUCUGGCUGGAUUGCUAAAUCAUUACAACAAGUUGCUUAACAUGGUGGCAUUCUUCCUUGGUAAUAUUGCGACCGUAAAUCUGAUACCUACUAUCCAUACAUGAUCAUGUACAAACUAUUAUCUGUUUUUCUUAAGUGAUUGAUUGGUUGUGGAGAAUUAGAACUGUUAAAAGAGGAUGCCUGACUACAACUCAGUUAGAUGGGAGUCUCUCAAAUUUUUCAUUUUGAGUUAUAUGAUCUGCCCGCAAUUUAAACUCAGUACCCCUAAUUGAGCAUGUACCAAGUUCUUUUGCUUUGGUCAAGACGAGUGACAAUGAUUCAGAUCUGGUCUAUGCAUUACUACAAGUUAAGAUGGUACGGCAACAUCUCCACUCGAGUCUUGCCUGAUCGCAAUACUAUCUAUAAGAGCGCAUACAUUGUUGAUGUAUCAUAUUUUCUUCAAGUGAUGUUGUAAUGGAGUUCUGUGUAUUCUACGACGGCUCAAUUUGUGCUAUGCCUAUAAUCAUUCAUUUUCAUUCUAUUUUC